rnacentral:rRNA from 1 species
CCUACGGGAGGCAGCAGUGGGGAAUUUUGGACAAUGGGGGCAACCCUGAUCCAGCAAUGCCGCGUGAGUGAAGAAGGCCCUCGGGUUGUAAAGCUCUUUUGUCAGGGAAGAAACGGUGGUUCCUAAUACGAGCUGCUAAUGACGGUACCUGAAGAAUAAGCACCGGCUAACUACGUGCCAGCAGCCGCGGUAAUACGUAGGGUGCAAGCGUUAAUCGGAAUUACUGGGCGUAAAGCGUGCGCAGGCGGUUAUAUAAGACAGAGGUGAAAUCCCCGGGCUCAACCUGGGAACUGCCUUUGUGACUGUAUGGCUAGAGUGUGUCAGAGGGGGGUAGAAUUCCACGUGUAGCAGUGAAAUGCGUAGAUAUGUGGAGGAAUACCGAUGGCGAAGGCAGCCCCCUGGGAUAACACUGACACUCAUGCACGAAAGCGUGGGGAGCAAACAGGAUUAGAUACCCUGGUAGUCCACGCCCUAAACGAUGUCUACUAGUUGUCGGGACUUAAUUGUCUUGGUAACGCAGCUAACGCGUGAAGUAGACCGCCUGGGGAUACGGUCGCAAGNUUAAAACNCAAAUGAAAUUGACCGGNNGAGAGNGCGAGACGACGACGAGGAGAGG